UUUCCGGUUGAUCCUGCCGGAGGCUACCGCUAUUGGAGUUCGAUUAAGCCAUGCGAGUCGCGAGUCUUAGGGACUCGGCGUACCGCUCAGUAACACGUGGGUAACCUGCCCUAUGCUGGGGGAUAACCUCGGGAAACUGAGAAUAAUACCCCAUAGUUCACCACGCCUGGAACGGUGGGUGGACCAAAGCUCCGGCGGCAUAGGAUGGGCCUGCGGCGUAUCAGGUUGUAGGGGGUGUAAUGUACCCUCUAGCCCUCUACGCGUACGGGUGUUGAGAGACAUCGCCCGGAGAUGGAUUCUGAGACACGAAUCCAGACCCCACGGGGUGCAGCAGGCGCGAAAACUUGGCAAUGCGAGAAAUCGUGACCAGGGAACUCCAAGUGCAUCGGGUAAGACCGAUGCUUUUCUUGACUCUUCAAAGGUCUUGGAAUAAGGGGUGGGUAAGGACGGUGCCAGCCGCCGCGGUAAUACCGGCGCCCCAAGUGGUAGUCGCUUUUAUUGGGCCUAAAACGUCCGUAGCCGGUCUGGUACAUUCGUGGGUAAAUCAACCAGCUCAACUGGUUGAAUUCUGCGAGCACGGCCAGACUUGGGACCGGGAGAGGUGUGGGGUACUCUCAGGGUAGGGGUAAAAUCCUGUCAUCCUGAGAGGACCACCUGUUGCGAAGGCGCCACACUAG
rnacentral:rRNA from 1 species